rnacentral:lncRNA from 1 species
UCAUAGGAGAGUGAUCUACGCUACUUGAUAGAGAACAUAUGGGCUGGUCAGAGUGCUGUGAGUGGUGAGAAGGAUCUAUUUGAGUUGAUACUAGUUCGUUGGAAUAUCACUGAACACUGGAGCCCAUGGAACUGUAUAUUAUUGACAACUGAUGAAGCUAGGGCUCAUGUUAAACUGGAUGACCCAGAAAAAGCUUACAGUUCACAGUUUACAGAUAAGAUAAGACAAAGGCACAUAUUAGCAAGGAAUUAUUUCACACAGAUACCAGGAAUGAUGGAGGAAAUGUCAACUAAAGUCAAAGAACUACCUCUACCUCGUCCUAAAGAAAGAAUCAUUGUAGUUAGACAACACCCACAGGAACAACAACAGCAACAAUUAGCAGUAGACUCUAACUAAGAUAUGCAUACAUAUACAUCUACAAUGUAUAAACAAUAAUGUUUUUUUUCUUUAAUGUGAGAUGUGGGAUGUUGUGAUCAAUAAUUAUUGUACAUGUCA